UGUGUAUGACGUCAACGUGAUAAACACGAUCAACUUUGGUGUUUAUGACGUCGAUAUUCGACGUCAUAAACACAAGCAACUUAGGUGUUUAUGACGUAGAUAUACGUACGUCAUAAACACGAUCAACUUUGGCGUUUAUGACGUCUAUAUUCGACGUCAUAAAAACAGAAUCAACUUUGGUGUUUAUGACGUCGACGUGAUAAACA